rnacentral:rRNA from 1 species
GGUGACAGGUGGUGCAUGGUUGUCGUCAGCUCGUGUCGCGAGAUGUUGGGUUAAGUCCCGCAACGAGCGCAACCCCUAUCCUUAGUUGCCAGCAUUCAGUUGGGCACUCUAGGGAGACUGCCGGUGACAAACCGGAGGAAGGUGGGGAUGACGUCAAAUCAUCAUGCCCCUUAUGAGUUGGGCUACACACGUGCUACAAUGGACGGUACAAAGGGCAGCGAGACCGCGAGGUGGAGCCAAUCCCAUAAAGCCGUUCCCAGUUCGGAUUGCAGGCUGCAACUCGCCUGCAUGAAGUCGGAAUCGCUAGUAAUCGCAGGUCAGCAUACUGCGGUGAAUACGUUCCCGGGUCUUGUACACACCGCCCGUCACACCACGAGAGUUUGCAACACCCGAAGCCGGUGAGUAACCGACAAGGAGCCAGCCGUCGAAGUGGUAGUNUUGG